CGACUCUCGGCAACGGAUAUCUCGGCUCUCGCAUCGAUGAAGAACGUAGCGAAAUGCGAUACUUGGUGUGAAUUGCAGAAUCCCGUGAACCAUCGAGUCUUUGAACGCAAGUUGCGCCCGAAGCCGUCAGGCCAAGGGCACGUCUGCCUGGGUGUCACGC
rnacentral:rRNA from 3 species